rnacentral:rRNA from 1 species
CAGUAGCCGCGGGAAUACAGAGGGUGCGAGCGUUAAUCGGAUUUACUGGGCGUAAAGCGUGCGUAGGCGGCUUCUCAAGUCGGAUGUGAAAUCCCUGAGCUUAACUUAGGAAUUGCAUUCGAUACUGGGAAGCUAGAGUAUGGGAGAGGAUGGUAGAAUUCCAGGUGUAGCGGUGAAAUGCGUAGAGAUCUGGAGGAAUACCGAUGGCGAAGGCAGCCAUCUGGCCUAAUACUGACGCUGAGGUACGAAAGCAUGGGGAGCAAACAGGAUUAGAUACCCCAGUAGUCCCUGUCUCUUAUAC